GUGGCAAAGGCCUGGGGCACAAGCAAGCCAGCCAUCUGCCCAGACCUUUCCAGGACCACGACAGACUCUUUACCUCCAUGGGUUGCCUCCACGGGUUGCUACAGCCUGGACAUGGAAACCUGUGAGAUCUCUCCACUGUUUUUUUAAGCUCCCAUCUUCCGGCAGUGAAUGGCACACCACAUGAGUCAACGUGUCAGAACGGAUGUUAAGGAGAGGGCGCGAGUGCUCAAACUCAAGGAUUCCAGCUGAACGGAUGCUAACAUCUUCCUGGCUUCUGCUGUAACCUCUGAACUACUGAGACUCGAGAUACUUCAGUGCUGUGUACAGUCUGCCUCUGCGUUCCCUACCCCCUGCCAGAAGUUCCAAUCCUCCCUCCAGCCCGCAACAAGCAUGAUACACAGACAACUGGUUUCUGUGCUGUGUCCUCCUGCAGCAAGCCCAGGGCUCUCUGCCCCUUUCCUGGCCGCUCCCCUAGUGUUAAAAUGGCACUAUCCAUAAAACUCCUCCUUAAUGAGGCCAUUCUGAGGAGACAGCACGAGACAUCCUCCAUGCCUUUGUGUCUCCAAAAAAAACCAACACUCCUCCUGAUAAGCAGAACUCUCCAGGUGCCUGUCCUUGAGACCUUAGAGAAAUAACAAGCUCAAGGGAGACUAGGGCC
ensembl:processed_transcript Gm15507 predicted gene 15507